rnacentral:lncRNA from 1 species
GAUGCACAUAUGAACUAGAAUGCAGCUCCAGUUUGUAUGGAACUGAAUCAUGUUUAUCCAAGACCUUGUAGAGGUCAUAGUAUUUAGGAGCAUGCAAUUUUAUAUGAUUAGAACGAAUCAACACUAAUUGUUGCAUGUAAGGAUGAAGCUGCACAUACACAUAAUAUUCCACCUCAAAAUGUCUUACACUUGUGUGUAAAUCAGCUUGUUGCUUCAUGUUGAUGCUGAACACGCAUUAAAUGGAACUUCAAAAUCAGU